CUGCAGUCAGCACAAGCCAGCUACCAAUCUGUGUCCCAACCCAGUGGCCCACAGUCCGCACAAGCCAGCUACCAGGCUUUAGUCUGUCCCAGUG